rnacentral:rRNA from 1 species
UACGUAGGUGGCAAGCGUUGUCCGGAUUUACUGGGUGUAAAGGGCGUGUAGCCGGGCUUACAAGGCAGAUGUGAAAUCCGGGGGCUCAACCCCCGAACUGCAUUUGAAACUGUAGGUCUUGAGUAUCGGAGAGGCAGGCGGAAUUCCUAGUGUAGCGGUGAAAUGCGUAGAUAUUAGGAGGAACACCAGUGGCGAAGGCGGCCUACUGGACGGUGACUGACGCUGAGGCUCGAAAGCGUGGGGAGCAAACAGG